rnacentral:rRNA from 1 species
AACCAGCACCUCAAGUUGUCAGGAGGAUUAUUGGGCCUAAAGCAUCCGUAGCCGGCUCUGUUAGUUUUCGGUUAAAUCCAUAUGCUCAACAUAUGGGCUGUCGGAAAUACUGCAGAGCUAGGGAAUGGGAGAGGUAGACGGUACUCGGUAGGAAGGGGUAAAAUCCUGUCAUCCUGAGAGGACCACCUGUUGCGAAGGCGCCACACUAGAACGGAUCCGACGGUCAGGGACGAAGCCUAGGGGCACGAACCGG